rnacentral:ncRNA from 1 species
GAUAACUGUCUUGUGACGUUCAUAGCGACGUCGCUUUUUGAUCCUUCGAUGUCUGCUCUUCCUAUCAUUGUGAAGCAGAAUUCACCAAGCGUUGGAUUGUUCACCCACUAAUAGGGAAUGUCAGCUGGGAUUAGGCCAUCGUGCGACAGGCA